UACGUAUGGAGCAAGCGUUAUCCGGAUUUACUGGGUGUAAAGGGAGCGUAGGCGGUAAGGCAAGUCUGGAGUGAAAGGCGGGGGCCCAACCCCCGGACUGCUCUGGAAACUAUGUUACUGGAGUGCAGGAGAGGUAAGCGGAAUUCCUAGUGUAGCGGUGAAAUGCGUAGAUAUUAGGAGGAACACCAGUGGCGAAGGCGGCUUACUGGACUGUAACUGACGUUGAGGCUCGAAAGCGUGGGGAGCAAACAGG
rnacentral:rRNA from 1 species